rnacentral:tRNA from 1 species
UAGGGAGUAGUACAAAUUGGAAGUACAUAAAGUUUUGGACUUUAAGAUUUGGGUUCGUGACCUAAGUUCCUAG